rnacentral:rRNA from 1 species
AGAGUUUGAUCAUGGCUCAGAUUGAACGCUGGCGGCAGGCCUAACACAUGCAAGUCGAGCGGUAGCACAGAGAGCUUGCUCUCGGGUGACGAGCGGCGGACGGGUGAGUAAUGUCUGGGAAACUGCCUGAUGGAGGGGGAUAACUACUGGAAACGGUAGCUAAUACCGCAUAACGUCGCAAGACCAAAGUGGGGGACCUUCGGGCCUCAUGCCAUCAGAUGUGCCCAGAUGGGAUUAGCUAGUAGGUGGGGUAACGGCUCACCUAGGCGACGAUCCCUAGCUGGUCUGAGAGGAUGACCAGCCACACUGGAACUGAGACACGGUCCAGACUCCUACGGGAGGCAGCAGUGGGGAAUAUUGCACAAUGGGCGCAAGCCUGAUGCAGCCAUGCCGCGUGUGUGAAGAAGGCCUUCGGGUUGUAAAGCACUUUCAGCGGGGAGGAAGGCGGUGAGGUUAAUAACCUCAUCGAUUGACGUUACCCGCAGAAGAAGCACCGGCUAACUCCGUGCCAGCAGCCGCGGUAAUACGGAGGGUGCAAGCGUUAAUCGGAAUUACUGGGCGUAAAGCGCACGCAGGCGGUCUGUCAAGUCGGAUGUGAAAUCCCCGGGCUCAACCUGGGAACUGCAUUCGAAACUGGCAGGCUAGAGUCUUGUAGAGGGGGGUAGAAUUCCAGGUGUAGCGGUGAAAUGCGUAGAGAUCUGGAGGAAUACCGGUGGCGAAGGCGGCCCCCUGGACAAAGACUGACGCUCAGGUGCGAAAGCGUGGGGAGCAAACAGGAUUAGAUACCCUGGUAGUCCACGCUGUAAACGAUGUCGAUUUGGAGGUUGUGCCCUUGAGGCGUGGCUUCCGGAGCUAACGCGUUAAAUCGACCGCCUGGGGAGUACGGCCGCAAGGUUAAAACUCAAAUGAAUUGACGGGGGCCCGCACAAGCGGUGGAGCAUGUGGUUUAAUUCGAUGCAACGCGAAGAACCUUACCUGGUCUUGACAUCCACAGAACUUAGCAGAGAUGGAUUGGUGCCUUCGGGAACUGUGAGACAGGUGCUGCAUGGCUGUCGUCAGCUCGUGUUGUGAAAUGUUGGGUUAAGUCCCGCAACGAGCGCAACCCUUAUCCUUUGUUGCCAGCGGUUCGGCCGGGAACUCAAAGGAGACUGCCAGUGAUAAACUGGAGGAAGGUGGGGAUGACGUCAAGUCAUCAUGGCCCUUACGACCAGGGCUACACACGUGCUACAAUGGCAUAUACAAAGAGAAGCGACCUCGCGAGAGCAAGCGGACCUCAUAAAGUAUGUCGUAGUCCGGAUUGGAGUCUGCAACUCGACUCCAUGAAGUCGGAAUCGCUAGUAAUCGUAGAUCAGAAUGCUACGGUGAAUACGUUCCCGGGCCUUGUACACACCGCCCGUCACACCAUGGGAGUGGGUUGCAAAAGAAGUAGGUAGCUUAACCUUCGGGAGGGCGCUUACCACUUUGUGAUUCAUGACUGGGGUGAAGUCGUAACAAGGUAACCGUAGGGGAACCUGCGGUUGGAUCACCU